CUACUUUUCUUUACUAUCCAAUCAUCCAUCCAUGAAUGUUGGCUGAAAUCUCUACCGAAUUAAACCACAAAAAAGGAUGAAGCCCUCCCAUAAAUACAUAGACUCAUACUCUAGGUAAACAUUAGACAUAGAUUUAGGGAGAAGACGAAAGCUUCUGUUCAAGUUGUUCGGGAGCGUGGCCGUCAUUUGAGUCUUGUUUAAGGCGUUCCCGAGAAAGGCGAUCACAAAGUUGUUUGAGUAGUUAACUUUUUUUAAGGUUAGUACGAUUGUUAGACAUGAAGCUGUUAGGGAACGGGUAGAGAAACUUUGACAAGACGUGACGAAUUUAGAUGAUUCGUUUAUUUAUUUUUCUAUACAUAAAGGUUCCUUUAUGACUCUGUUGCUAUGUACGACGAGUAACACCCAUUUUUUUUAUAUACUGAAAUCAUUUUUAUUAAUGGUUUUAUAAUGUAAACAUACGACUGGGAGUUUCC